rnacentral:rRNA from 1 species
CGAACGCUGGCGGCGCGCCUAACACAUGCAAGUCGAACGGAGCUGAGAGAAGCUUGCUUUUCUUAGCUUAGUGGCGAACGGGUGAGUAACGCGUGAGUAACCUGCCCUGGAGUGGGGGACAACAGUUGGAAACGACUGCUAAUACCGCAUAAGCCCACGAUCCGGCAUCGGAUUGAGGGAAAAGGAUUUAUUCGCUUCAGGAUGGACUCGCGUCCAAUUAGCUAGUUGGUGAGGUAACGGCCCGCCAAGGCGACGAUUGGUAGCCGGACUGAGAGGUUGAACGGCCACAUUGGGACUGAGACACGGCCCAGACUCCUACGGGAGGCAGCAGUGGGGGAUAUUGCACAAUGGGGGAAACCCUGAUGCAGCGACGCCGCGUGGAGGAAGAAGGUUUUCGGAUUGUAAACUCCUGUCGUUAGGGACGAUAAUGACGGUACCUAACAAGAAAGCACCGGCUAACUACGUG